UGGCGCAGGCGCUCUGUGCCCCGCCCCAGCGCCCUGGUCCGCCUUUGCCGAGCGCGGGUCCUGAAGGUGCGCCUUCUCACGUAGCUUGCUCAGCCCAGAACCGGUUUUCCCGGUUUCUAGAAAGAGAAUUGGCAAGACCCUUCUUCUCUGAGGUGUGCUUGAACUUCAGGAACUGCCAUCAUAUGGUUCCAGCUGUGCCCACGCACAACAUUCAUAGUCUUUCGUAAACAUGAGCAUGUGUGGGGAUUUUUUUUUUAAUGGAUCAUGAGAUUCUCCCGUGUGAACUUUGUAGAUGACAACACUGUGUGCCAAUUUCAAAAAGUUGGACAGACCCGGUAGGAUUCUCUCUCCAAUACCUGCCUUGAGAAAACUGGAAAUCUAUCAAUGCUCAUGAAAGGAUGAAUCUUCCUGCAUUACCAUGAUAGAGAGGGACGUCUCAUAACAGUUUAGCUCUUCAGUAUUGCUCUAGGCUCCAAGAAGCUUGCUUAUUCCUUCUUAAAGAUCCGCUUGGCUUCGACUCCUUCAUAUAUGGGAUUACAGUUAAGAGAUUGCAUGAAG